UACGGAGGGUGCAAGCGUUAUCCGGAUUCACUGGGUUUAAAGGGUGCGUAGGCGGAAUUGAAAGUCCGUGGUGAAAUCUCCGAGCUUAACUCGGAAACUGCCCUGGAUACUAUGAUUCUUGAAUAUUGUGGAGGUUAGCGGAAUAUGUCAUGUAGCGGUGAAAUGCAUAGAUAUGACAUAGAACACCAAUUGCGUAGGCAGCUGGCUACACAAAUAUUGACGCUGAUGCACGAAAGCGUGGGGAUCAAACAGG
rnacentral:rRNA from 1 species